AUGCUCGCUUCGGCAGCAUAUAUACUAGAACUGGAACGAUACAAAGAAGAUCAGCAGGGCCCCUGAGCUAGGAUGGCACGCAAAUUCGUGACAUAUUCCUUAUUUUU